GAUUAUUCAUAAUCAGCAACAAGGGGUUACAGUGUAAUGGUUUACAAUUUAGUGAGGUGGGACCACGGACUAGUUGGAGUUUUUAUUUCAGUCCCCAUAACUUAUUUGAAGCAGGGGGCUUGGCUGUCCACCCUUUGUACUUAGUAGUCCACCAAACAUCCGCCCAGUCACCACAGGGACUUUUUAAGGCUCCACACUUAUACUUGCUUGAUUCCUUGAGGUAUGGACAUAGAUACUUAUCAACACGGGAUGGCUUCCUUUGAGCUUGCUCAUCUCCACGCGGGAUGACUGAACAGGCAUCGAACUGAAGAGUUAAAGGAUGACUAGCCUGAGUUACAUUGAUGACAAGAUGACCUUCUGUCGAAAAGAAAAAAGAGAAUAAACAAGUGAUUAUUAAGCUCUUUUUAGAGUUAGUUUGGUGGGGGUGGGCCCUGGAGUGACAGUCCAUUAUUCUGGAGGUGGUCGCGCCUUCUUGACUCGGGUGUGAUGAGUCCAUCCUCUUUCUACUGUCCAGACUGCAGUCUCAGUAGUUAGGAGCACUAGGUAGGGUCCUUCCCAGGCUGGUUCGAGCUUCCCUUCCUUCCACCCUUUGAUGAGAACGUGAUCUCUAGGCUGAUGCUGAUGUGGCGGAAACUCCAGGGGCGGCGCCUGUGCUAGGAGGCCUUUAGUCUUAAGGGAAGAGAAGGUAGAGGAUAGACCAAGUAUAUAAUUUUUGAGGAACUGAUCCUUUCUUUCAAAUGUAGGGAUGUUAGCAGUGGAGUGUGUCAGUGACACAGGACCUGGACGCCAGUCAUGUGAAAUCCACAGUGUGUUGUAUUUCCCUGGAGAGAGCGUGCUGCAGCAAUGAUGCAUUGGAUUUCCUGCCCACCCAAUAAAAGGGAAAGGGAAGCUCAAAGGGUCUUAUCCAGUGUCCCAGAAGAAUC
rnacentral:lncRNA from 10 species